rnacentral:rRNA from 1 species
AUUGAACGCUGGCGGCAGGCCUAACACAUGCAAGUCGAGCGAGCGGCGGACGGGUGAGUAAUGUCUGGGAAACUGUCUGUUGGAGGGGGCGAACUAUUGGAAACGGUAGCUAAUACAGCAUACUCUCAGAUGUGCCCCGCUGGGAUUAGCUAGUAGGUGGGGUAAUGGCUCACCUAGGCGACGAUCCCUAGCUGGUCUGAGGUGAUGACCAGCCACCCUGGAACUGGGACACGGUCCAGACUCCUACGUGAGGCAGCAGUGGGGAAUAUUGCCCAAUGGGCGCAAGCCUGAUGCAGCCAUGCCGCGUGUGUGAAGAAGGCCUUCGGGUUGUAAAGCACUUUCAGCGGGGAGGCGUUACCCGCAGAAGAAGCACCGGCUAACUCCGUGCCAGCAGCCGCGGUAAUUC